rnacentral:misc_RNA from 1 species
UGCUUUACGAGUACAUGAAGCAUAGAUCCUUGGCAGAAAAUCUCUCUACUAAAACACUUGAUUAGGAAAAGAGGCUUGAAAUUGCCUUGGGUAUAGCCAAGGGCCUUUCCUGUUUACAUGAAGAGUGUUUAGAGUGGGUUCUAAAGUGUGAUGUAAAGCCUCAAAAUACAGUCCUAGACUGUGAUUACCAGCCAAAGGUGUCAGAUUUUGGC